GGAGUUAGCCGGUGCUUCUUCUGUGAGUGAUGUCCUUCCUGCCGGUUAUUGACCCGCAGGCCUUCUUCCUCACUGAAAGUGCUUUACAACCCGAAGGCCUUCUUCACACACGCGGCAUGGCUGGAUCAGGGUUGCCCCCAUUGUCCAAUAUUCCCCACUGCUGCCUCCCGUAGGAGUCUGGGCCGUGUCUCAGUCCCAGUGUGGCUGAUCAUCCUCUCAGACCAGCUACGGAUCGUCGCCUUGGUGAGCCGUUACCUCACCAACCAGCUAAUCCGACAUAGGCUCAUCCGAUAGCGCGAGGCCCGAAGGUCCCCCGCUUUCCCCCGUAGGGCGUAUGCGGUAUUAGCCUGGGUUUCCCCAGGUUAUCCCCCACUACCGGGCAGAUUCCUAUGCAUUACUCACCCGUCCGCCGCUCGCCACCAGGGAGCAAGCUCCCCGUGCUGCCGCUCGACUUGCAUGUGUUAGGUCGUCGCCGCCACGCGUUCAAUACUGAGCCAGAAUACAACUACUCGA
rnacentral:rRNA from 1 species